CCANUCGCGAAGCCAGGCACCGAGCCGCACGCUAUCUNGCCCGCCGGGCGGGUCAACUGCGUCGAUCCAGNUCACUNCACCACUAAUCANACGACUGCGCCCCUAGGAGGGGAGGAUACCCCACNACUGNGAANNCUCAAACUACACNCCGACACUCGAGCNGCGAUCCGCACAACAGCUGACGAACNCAUCACAUCAAACAACANCAGCGUACGAGACGCGNACAUACAGAGCACGACACUCCACCGCUAGCGGCGAGACACGAAGACGCAGCAAGUCGAUAAAGACAGCCGACCCGCUGCGACGCAAGACGNCAUACGCGAAUACGCAGCGCUAAGAGACGAACUAGCGCAGCAGAGACAAGACGNGAGAUANAGGAACGNGAGAAGAGCUACGGCUCGACGAGA
rnacentral:rRNA from 1 species